UGCAGGGUAGAGAAGUUCGGUCAUCUCGCUAGCCUCAUAAGCUAGAAAUCGCCUUAAGUGGUUCAAAUCCCGCCCCUGCUCCCA
rnacentral:tRNA from 1 species